rnacentral:lncRNA from 1 species
CCCUCCAGCAGGAAACCAGUGUAGUUAUGUUGUUUGUACUUGCCAGGAUACACUUCCAUUUCAUAUUUGCAAGUACACAUAAAGGUAUCCUUCAUCAGCAGCACAGUGCUUCCUUUCCUCUGAAUCUGCCAUCAGCUCAGGCAGAUUUCUAAGCAGCAAAUCAGCCUUUGCCAGAACACUGCAGGACACCAGUGCAGCGCCCAGCCUGCGACCAUGAGGCAUUUUAAAAUCUGUGGCGCUUCCAGACUCAUAUCAACAUUCCCUGAUGGAAGCCUUUAGCAAUCCUAACCAGGAAGUGGCCAGAGCCUGGAGCCAGAGACGAACGUCCCUCAUAGGAGGGGUUGCUGGAGGAGGAGGGGCAAAUCUAUUUCAUUCUGUCCUUGCAGGCACAUUUUCAUCAGUUAAUGAUGCAAACCAGGCUGAAACGUUCUUAACAAGCAUGUGUGUUUCUGUUUUUCAUUUGAAAGUCAGGAGCAUGAGGCUAUAUUCAUCAUAGAGGCAGGGUUUCUCUGUGUCAGAGCUCAGCAUUGGCAGCUCUAGCAAAGGACAGGCUGCAUUUAGCUGGUUCUUUUCUAAGGAGCCACAGUCAGGCACUAAACCAGCAUCUACACCUCUGAGGCCCCUAAAAGCCUCCAGUGAAGCUGGGCUUGAUCAGACCUCAAAAAGAUCUCCCUUUGCAUUUUGCUCUUAGUUCUCAGUGAUCUUUAAAAAAUAAUAAUAAUAAAAAGAUUAGAAUCAUGAAAGAUUUUUCUCAGGAUAUGAAUACUAUAGGCACACUAAAGAAACUUUGGAAAAAUGCCAGCAAGUAUAAGCGAAAAAAAAUCAUACUGCCCCUUAUAUCACCCACUGAAAUUAAAAUAUUUAAACAUUAUGCUUCUGUGUACACCUGUAUACGCUAUAUGUCAGGCCUCUGAGCCCAAGCUAAGCCAUCAUAUACCCUGUGACCUGCACGUAUAAAUCCGGAUGACCUGAAGUAACUGAAGAAUCACAAAAGAAGUGAAAAUGGCCUGUCCCUGCCUUAACUGAUGACAUUACCUUGUGAAAUUCCUUCUCCCAGCUCUUCCUGGCUCAAAAGCUCCCCCACUGAGCACCUUGUGCCCCCCACCCCUGCCAGCCAGAGAACAUCCGCCUUUGACUGUAAUUUUCCACUAUCUACCCAAAUCUUAUAAAAACAGCCCAUCCCAUCUCCCUUCACUGACUCUCUUUUUGGACUCAGCUCGCCUGCACCCAGGUGAUUAAAAAGCUUUAUUGCUCACACAAAGCCUGUUUGGUGGUCUCUUCACAUGGACGCGAGUGACAUUUGGUGCCGUGACUCGGAUCGGGGAACCUCCCUUGGGAGAUCAAUCCCCUGUCCUCCUGCUCUUUGUUCCAAGAGAAAGAUCCACCUACGACCUCUGCUCCUCAGACCAACCAGCCCAAGGAACAUCUCACCAAUUUUAAAUCGGGUAAGUGGCCUGUCUUUACUCUCUUCUCCAAUCUCUCUCACUAUCCCUCAACCUCUUUCUCCUUUCAAUCUCGGCACCACACUUCAAUCUUUCCCUUCUCUUAAUUUCAAUUCCUUUCCUUUUUUGGUAGAGAUACGGGAGAUGUGUUUUAUCUGUGGACUCAAAACUCCAGUGCUGGUCACAGAUUCGGGAAGACAGUCUUCCCUUGGUGUUUAAUCACUGCAGAGAUGCCUGCCUGAUUAUUCACCCACAUUUCAUUGGUGUCUGAUCACCGUGGGGAUGCCUGCCUUGGUCAUUCACCCACAUUCCCUUAGUGGCAAGGCAAUUGUGGGGACACCUGCUUUGGCUGCUCACCCACAUUUGCAGCCCAGGGCUGCUCACCCAACCCCUUCUCUCCAUGUCUCUACCCUCUCUUUUCUCUCCACUUUCCUGGGGGGCAAGGACCCCCUACCCCUUCUCCACUUUCCUGGGGGGCAAGCACCCCCCACUCCUUCUCUCUGUGUCUCUACCCUCUCUUUUCUCUCCACUUCCCUGGGGGACAAACACCCCACCCCUUCCCCAUGUUCCUGGGGUGCAAGAACCCCCCACCCCUUCUCUCUGUGUCUCUACCCUCUCUUUUCUCUGGACUUGCCUCCUUCACUAUAGGCAAACUUCCACCCUCCAUUCCUCCUUCUUCUCCCUUAGCCUGUGUUCUCAAGAACUUAAAACCUCUUCAACUCACACCCGACUUAAAACCCAAAUGCCUUAUUUUCUUCUGCAAUGCCACUUAACCCCAAUACAAACUCGACAGUGGUUCCAAAGAGCCAUAAAAUGGCACUUUUGAUUUCUCCAUCCUACAACACCUAGAUAAUUUUUGUCGAAAAAUGGGCAAAUGGUCUGAGGUGCCUGACGUCCAGGCAUUCUUUUACACAUCGGUCCCUCGUCCCUCCCUAAUCUCUGUUCCCAAUGCAACUCAUCCCAAAUCUUCCUUCUUUCCCUCCUGCCUGUCCCCUCAGUUCCAACCCCAAGUGUCACUAAGUCUUUCCAAUCUUCCUUUUCUACGGACCCAUCUGACCUCUCCCCUCCUCCCCAGGCUGCUCCUAGCCAGGCCGAGCCAGUUCCAAUUCUCCCUUAGCCUCCGCUCCCCCACCCUAUAAUCCUUCUAUCACCUCCCCUCCUCACACCCAGUCCAGCUUCCAGUUUCGUUCUGCGACUAGCCCUCCCGGACCUGCCCAGCAAUUUCCUCUUAAAAAGGUGGCUGGAGCUAAAGGCAUAGUCAAGGUUAAUGCUCCUUUUUCUUUAUCCAACCUCUCCCAAAUCAGUUAGCGUUUAGGCUCUUUUUCAUCAAAUAUAAAAACCCAGCCCAGUUCAUGGCUUGUUUGGCAUCAACCCUGAGAUGCUUUACAGCCCUAGACCCUGAAAGGUCAAAAGGCCGUCUUAUUCUCAAUAUACGUUUUAUUACCCAAUCUGCUCCCAACAUUAAAUAAAACUCCAAAAAUUAAAUUCCGGCCCUCAAACCCCACAAUAGGAUUUAAUUAACCUUGCCUUCAAGGUGUACAAUAAUAGAGUAGAGUCAGCCAAGUAACAAUGUAUUUCUGAGUUGCAAUUCCUUGCCUCCACUGUGAGAGAAACCCCAGCCACAUCUCCAGCACACAAGAACUUCAAAAUGCCUAAGCCGCAGCAGUCAAGCAUUCCUAGAGGACCUUCUCCAUCAGGAUCUUGCUUCAAGUGCCAGAAAUCUGGCCACUGGGCCAAGGAAUGCCCACAGCCCGGGAUUCCUCCUAAGCUGUGUCCCAUCUGUGUGGGACCCCACUGAAAAUCAGACUGUCCAGCUCACCUGGCAGCCACUCCCAGAGCCCCUGGAACUCUGGCCCAAGGCUCUCUGAUUGACUUCUUCCCAGAUCUUCUGGGCUUAGUGGCUGAAGACUGACACUGCCCGAUCACCUGAGAAGCCUCCUGGACCAUCACAGAUGCUUUAGGUAACUCUUACAGUAGAGGGCUCUAGGGGAUGGUAGAGUCACAGGAUGGAAGAACUCUGUGUCCUUGAAUCAUUGCAUGGAAGAGAACUGGAAGUUGCCCAGGAACACCAGCCUUGGACAGUU